GAUAACUUCCUUGAGAUGGAAUCAUCGUGGCUCCAAUUAUUAAGUUCUGGUCAUAGUGACAUUCCUCCCAUACUUUUGCUCGCUCAAGAGAUGAUGCAAUGGUGGCUGAUUGGGCCUCCUUUACAAACAUCUUCAAUUCUGGUGGGUGUAGUCCAUUAACCAAUAUGGGCAACAUAAACGAUUCCACCAUUUGGUUAUUUGGCCAUUUACUUAGUA
rnacentral:lncRNA from 1 species